rnacentral:snoRNA from 1 species
GGAUCAAUGAUGAAAACAAGUGUCUGAGGACAGUGAUUGACUCGUAACUAUGCCAAUCUGAGAGCC